UCUAGUUGUGACUCAUUGUUAAGUAAUCCCUCAUAAUUAUUGCAUUUCCCCAUAAUUAUUGAAUUUAUAUUUUAGGUAGGAACGUGAUUUCUAAAAAUAUCAACUCCCACCAACACCAGGAAGGUGCUCAGUUACUAAAAUGCAUAAUUGUCUGGUACGGAGAUCGAACAGUGUAACGGGUGCAAAUCCAUAUAACGAAUUACGCUGGUUAUCUCGAGCAGAGCUGAUCACUGGUUUGAGAAGUUUCAAUGACGUGUAUUCGGAAGCGUGUCAGUCAUUCAAUGAAAAAUGAUGACUCUAAACUAAAAAAAACUCUAAAAAGUCCAGCUCUAAACUUGUUGAUAGUAAUUUAUUAUAAAGUAAUCGUUCCUAAAUAAUACGCGUUUUUUCAGGUGUGAUUCAACAUUGCAGAACGUCUAUCAGGCUGCACCUGCACUGGCGAUUUGUUGAGUCGAUCAUUGCAUAGAUGAGUUCCAUACCUGCAUCAAUCGCCACAUUACAAAAGACUUAUGCAACAACCCGUAGUCGAAUUAAAAGUCCUUUGUAAAGAACUCUAUACGCCGAUCAAAGUAAUCUAGCAUUCCCAGAGUUGGAGGUGGAGUCUGGUUUAGUUGUUUCUGCAUGGAAUUUGCCGGAGUCGCAAGUCUGGAAUCUGAACUCCAGCGAAAUUUUUAAUUUAUUCUAAUCGCUAUUUUUUACCAAAUACGUUUUUAUUUAUUAGCUUUUUUAUUGAUUUCAAGUUUUCUCCCGGGGUCGUAUAGCGUCAAAUCUUCAAAAUGCUUAAUUUUCUGAAAUUAUUUCUAUUUUUAUCUUGUCAGACAAGUCGUAUAGACUAUAGAAUAUGUGUUACCGCAGAGCAGGAGGCUUCCUAAAUUGUUCAGUUUGGUUUCGGUGGAUUGAAUAGGUAUAAAUCGCCACUCUAGGGAUAAAUCGGAGAGGUGUGCAUGAAAAAUUGUUUUUUCUUAUCUAUUUCUGCUAUGAUGUAGUUCUUGUGCUAAUAUUUUGCAAUUUGCUAAUAAAUUUGAAAAAUUA